CACGUAGGGCGCAAGCGUUGUCCGGAAUUAUUGGGCGUAAAGAGCUCGUAGGCGGUCUGUUACGUCCGCUGUGAAAACCCGGGGCUUAACCCCUGGCUUGCAGUGGAUACGGACAGACUAGAGGUAGGUAGGGGAGAAUGGAAUUCCCGGUGUAGCGGUGAAAUGCGCAGAUAUCGGGAGGAACACCGGUGGCGAAGGCAGGUCUCUGGGCUGACACUGACGCUCAUGCACGAAAGCGUGGGGAGCAAACAGG
rnacentral:rRNA from 1 species